GCGGCGUCCCGGGGAGCGCGCGCGCCCCCCUCGAAGGCCUCGCCCGGGACCCGGCGGAAUCAAAGGGGCAUCUUCGCUUCCGCGGGUCGGGGCCGCCGCUCGCCCCUCCGCCGGCCUUGGAGGGCGUUACGGGGCGCCCCUUCCGCGGGCAGCGGAUGGCAGCCCAGCGCCUUUGCGGGCACCGCCUGGACGGCCUGCGCGGAGGUCUUUCUUUUAGUCCUCUGGGAAUAAUGUGAUGCUAGACAUGCUGGACUGAGAAAGGAAAAAAAAAAAAAAAGCAAAACACAAAAGCAAAAAAAAAAAAAAAAACCCAUUUGGGUCAAUGACGGAGCGUCAGGCCGCAGCGACGGGGGAGGGGAGCGACUUAAGCAAAGUCCGCUGCCUCAAAAAUGCACGUUGGUCUGUGGGAGGUGCAGGUGAGAAGCCAGAAGCCAGGCGGAGAAGGGACCCCUUGCGCGUGUCACCUAAGGUUUGGCAAGCCUUGACUACGGUUACUUCUGAGUCACUCUGGUGUCCGUGUCUCAACAGCCAUCAGAACCUGGGACAGCUGCUCUGAGGCAGGAGUUUCCUAUACAACCUGUGCAGAGACAUCCCACGUGGCCCCGGUCUUGCUGAGCAACUGUUGGGUCUCCUGGUGGCCCGCGGGGAAGCAGGACCAAGCUUUCGGAGCCUACCACACAUCCCAUCCAGCUCCACAUUGUGACAUCACCUUGGAGCCUGAAACGAGCCAUGGUGGGAAUGACGGACGCCAUGAAAACCGGCCAACACUACAAAGCGGGACUGUUUUCCUCAGGUGGCUAAACAUUUGCCAGCACAUCCCUGCCUAAGCUCCAGCUGGGGAAGAGGCAGCCUUCUGCGAUGCGGGAAGUCACAGAGCGAGUCCCGAGUGGUGAGCAGGGCAGAAGGCCCUUCUGCCAAUUUCCCUGUGGGCUGGAAAUGAAAACACCACCACCCAUGGAGUCUAGCCCAUCUUCCUUCUCAUCUCGAGGCCACAGGCGCUCAGCAUCACCUGCCUUCAGGGGACUUCCCAGUCCCUGUGGAGUGGGAAGCCGCUCUGGACGCGAGCAGAGGUGCGAUUCAGAGCACUUGAGGGAGAAGGAACUUACUUUUCAAACUUUGCUAACACGUCAGCUACGAUGGUUCGGCUUUCAAUGGCUUUAUCCACAUUUCCGUUGUACUCAAACAAGGCGAACAUGUUCCUGCUGUCCUCCAUGGCAAGGCCUCUGAUCAGCUUCUCCACCACCUGCAAAAUAUACCCCGAGGGCUUCGGCUGCCAGCACGUGGUUCUAGAAUGUGCCUUCCCCUGAACCCCAAGGGAGCUGCCGACAAGCGAGGGUCCAAGCAGCCCCCCUACAACUGUCCUGUGUGGUCACGCAGAAUUUCAAAGGUGCCGUUUUUCCAUUAGUCUCUAGAAACCAGAUUUGUCUUAUCCUUGUAAAAAAAAAGAACACGGGGUAUGUAUUUCACCCACUGGUAGAGAUGGAUGGCGGGCGGAUUUCUUGCAGACCCAUCCUGGUAGGAAAGUGCAUGAAAACCGAAGCCCUUUCAUCUGAUACAUCCAUCGCCUGCCAAGAAACAAGGGUUUCCACCGUGUUUCUUCCUUCCACGCCAGAAGCUUCUCUGGGUUUUACUGCCCUACUUCUUUUAGACAACUGGUUUUACAAUACUAAAUUUU